CAUUCUGUUCUGUGUGCUCCUGCUGAAAACUGACGUCGGCUAAGGCUGCAGCAGGUUUCUGGAGGACCCCCGGACCUCAGCAUGCAGAGUCCCUGGGCCAAGGAUCGAACCUGUGCCACAGCAGUGACAAUGCCAGAUCUUUAAUCUGCUGAGCCACCAGGGAACUCUAGAUUCCCUGCUUUCUUUUAGAUAUAUACCUAAGAGUGGAAUUGCUAGGUAUGGUAGUUGUAUGUAGUAAUAUUUGUAACAUAUGGUAGUUGAAUCUUGUAGUAUUUGUAAUGUAUGGUAGUUGUAUGUUGUAACAUUUGUAACAUAUGGUAGUUGUAUAUUGUAACAUUUGUAACAUAUGGUAGUUGUAUGUUGUAACAUUUUGAGGAGCUGCCCAGCUGUUUUCCACCAGGCACUCUACCAGCAAUGCAUGAGGGUUCCAAUUUCUCCACCUCUUCAUGAAUCCUUGUUAUUUUCUGUGUGUGUUUAAAUUAUUAUUUUUAUUAUAGUAAUUCUAGUAAAAAAUAUAGUGAUAUCUCAUUGUGGUUUUGAUUUACAUUUCCAUAAUAACUUAUGAUGUUGAGCAUCUUUGCAUGUGCUUAUUGGUCAUUUGUUUAUCUUUGGAGAAAUGUCUACUCAUGCCUUUGCCUGUUUUUUUAAAAAAACUGAACUAUGGCUGAUUUACAAUAUUGUGUUAGUUUCAGGUGUACAGCAAAGUGAUUCAGUUAUACAUAUAGCAUGUAACGUAUAUAACAUAUGUAUAGUUAUACAUAGCUCUGCAUAUCCCUUAGUUUUGUGGGGAUUUGAGGGGGCCCCACAAUAAUGAAACUAACAGCACUAAUGGCCUGAACCUAGCCAGAACCCAGAUUGGGUCUUGAACCCCCAGUUUUUAAAUUAUACUCACUCACCUGGUGUCUGGACUUACUGAGAUUGUUUCUUUAUGUCUCUGCGCAGAAAGAAUUCAGCGAGAGACAAAGUGAUAGGCAAGAAAUUGAUUUAUUAAGAUGGGACGCUUGUGAGAGAUGCAAGCAGGCAAGCAAGGAGGCUCUGCCCCCAGUAUUAGGUGGGCUACAGUUUUAUCAUCCAAGGGGAGCGGAGGUCAGAAAAAACCACUUCUUCUUCCUCUUUCUCAGAGUAGUAGCUCCUCCUUGGUAUCUGGUAAGAGAGUAUUUGACCCUAUAAGGUCAAACUAGGACUGGCCUGGUGCUUAUUCAAAUCAGCAGAAGGGGAGUUCCCAUUGCGGCAAAGUGGAACAAAUCUGACUAGGAACCAUGAGGCUGGCCUCCCUCAGUAAGUUAAGGAUCUGGUGUUGCAGUGAGCUGUGGUGUAGUUUGCAGACACGGCUUGGAUCCCACGUUGCUCUAGCUAUGGUGAAGCCCAAAGCUAUAGCUCCAGUUGGACGCCUAGCCUGGGAACCUCCAUAUGCUGGGGGUGCGGCCCUAAAAAACAGCAAAAAAAGAAAGAAAGAAAAAAAAAAAAA
rnacentral:lncRNA from 1 species